rnacentral:rRNA from 1 species
CCUACGGGAGGCAGCAGUGGGGAAGUUUUGGACAAUGGGCGCAAGCCUGAUCCAGCAAUGCCGCGUGAGUGAAGAAGGCCUUCGGGUUGUAAAGCUCUUUUGUCAGGGAAGAAACGGUCUACUCUAAUACAGUGGGCUAAUGACGGUACCUGAAGAAUAAGCACCGGCUAACUACGUGCCAGCAGCCGCGGUAAUACGUAGGGUGCAAGCGUUAAUCGGAAUUACUGGGCGUAAAGCGUGCGCAGGCGGUUAUAUAAGUCAGAUGUGAAAUCCCCGGGCUCAACCUGGGAACUGCAUUUGAGACUGUAUGGCUAGAGUGUGUCAGAGGGGGGUAGAAUUCCACGUGUAGCAGUGAAAUGCGUAGAUAUGUGGAGGAAUACCGAUGGCGAAGGCAGCCCCCUGGGAUAACACUGACGCUCAUGCACGAAAGCGUGGGGAGCAAACAGGAUUAGAUACCCUGGUAGUCCACGCCCUAAACGAUGUCUACUAGUUGUCGGGACUUAAUUGUCCGUUGGUAACGCAGCUACGACGUGAGUAGACCGCCGUCGGAGGUACGGUCGCGAGAGUAAACGUUAAACGUAAGUAAGUAGUAGACGGNGUAGAGACGACGACGACGGACGACGACGGGAGGGAGGAG